ensembl:snoRNA
GCUAUAAUGUGUGCAUAGCUUUAAUCUGUGUCUGGUAGCAGUGUCUGUCUGUGUUUUGCAUUCAGAUGUUGUUACUCACACAUAAUGUCAUGCAGCCAAAGAAUAACAUGGGAUCAUAGUACUGGUCUAGUGUUGUCUCUUUGGACAUAACCACCACUGGCCAGCCUCCAAACUCCCAUACACAA